UGCAGAAUGAGCCGGCGAGUUAUGGUAUUGUGCAAGGUUAAGUAGAAAAUACGGAGCCGAAGCGAAAGCGAGUCUUAAAAGGGCGAAAAAGUACAAUGCUGUAGACCCGAAACUGAGUGAUCUAGCCAUGAGCAGGUUGAAGUGUAGGUAACACUACAUGGAGGACCGAACCAGGGUACUAUGUAACGUGCUUGGAUGACUUGUGGUUAGCGGUGAAAUUCCAAUCGAACUCAGAGAUAGCUGGUUCUCCCCGAAAUAGGUUUAGGCCUAGCCUUGAAGAAUUUCCUCUGGAGGUAGAGCACUGAAUGUGGAAUGGCCGCGUCUAGCGGUACUGACUGCAAUCAACCUCCGAAUGCCAGAGUAGUUAGCUUCAGGAGUCAGUUUAUGGGUGAUAACGUCCAUAUGCGAGAGAAAAACAAUUCAGACCACCAGUUAAGGUCCCAAAAUAUAUGUUAAGUGGGAAAGGAUGUGGAGUUGCACGAACAGCUAGGAGGUUGGCUCAGAAGCAGCCAUCCUUUAAAGAGUGCGUAAUAGCUCACUAGUCGAGUGGCUCUGCGCCGAAAAUGUACCGGGGCUAAACAUAUUACCGAAACUGUGGAUUUAUGCGAUAGCAUAAGUGGUAGGGGAGCGUUCUAAGGGCGAUGAAGAUAGAGCGAGAGGACUAUUGGAGCGCUUAGAAGUGAGAAUGCCGGUGUGAGUAACGUAAGGUAGGUGAGAAUCCUACCCACUGAUUGACCAAGGAUUCCAGGGUCAAGUUCGUCUACCCUGGGUAAGUCAGGACCUAAGGCGAGGCUGAGAAGCGUAGUCGAUGGACAACAGGUUUAUAUUCCUGUACUAUUUAUAGGACUGAAGGAGUGACAAAGGAAGCUAGUAAGAGCCAUUUAAUGGAUUAUGGUCUAAGCACAAAGACUGAUACAUAGGAAAAUCCGUGAUAUCGAACGGUUGAAGUGUGAUGGCGAAGCAGUCUACGGACAGCGAAGUCUUAUGAGGCUAAACUUUUUAAAAAAGCUUCUAAAGAAAUGCUAUAAAUACCUGUACUAAGAACCAACGCAGGUGGUCAAGGAGAGAAUCCUAAGGUGAGCGAGAGAACUAUGGUUAAGGAACUCGGCACAAUGAUCCCGUAACUUCGGAAUAAGGGAAGGUCUUGAAAAAGACCCGCAGUGAAUAGGCCCAAGCGACUGUUUACCAAAAACACAGGUUUCUGCAAAAGCGUAAGCUGAAGUAUAGGAGCUGACGCCUGCCCAGUGCUGGAAGGUUAAGAUGAUUUGUAAGAUGGACGAAAGUCGAUAACAUCGAAGCAAUGAAUUGAAGCCCCAGUGAACGGCGGCGAUAACUAUAAUCGUCCAAAGGUAGCGAAAUUCCUUGUCAGGUAAGUUCUGACCCGCACGAAAGGCGUAACGAUUUGGGCACUGUCUCAACCAUAGACUCGGUGAAAUCUUAAUACCUGUGAAAAUGCAGGUUACCAGCGACAGGACGGAAAGACCCCAUGGAGCUUUACUGUAGCUUGAUAUUGAAAUCAGGUAGUUAAUGUAGAGGAUAGGUGGUAGACAAUGAAGUUAAGACGCUAGUCUUAAUGGAGUCGACCUUGGAAUACCACCCUUUGACUAUUUGAUUUCUAACUUGCACCCGUAAUCCGGGUGAAGGACAGUGUCUGGUGGGCAGUUUGACUGGGGCGGUCGCCUCCU
rnacentral:rRNA from 1 species